GAAGGAUAUUAAUCCUAAAUAAAUAUAAUUUUUUGGGGAAUUUCACAAGGUUAUACUGUCAUAUUCCUCUCAAAACUAACACAAUAUUCCGUAAAAACCGUGUUCCAGGAGACACCUAUAACCGACUUGCAGCCCCAUUUUUUGUGCAAUUUGAAGAGUGGUUCGUCAGAAAGUGUCCAAUGUUUAUGAAGCAAACUGGGCACAAUUACUGGGCAACCCCAAUUUUCUCAACGUUUUGCUUGCAAAAUUCGCUUACGACCGCAGUUGGCUUUGCGUUUUACGUUCGAAAGGAUUAAGACUGAAAACCGGUUCGGCCCUGGGAUCCCCGCCUGGCACAGAAAACUGAAAACACAAAAGGGCUUAGCCGCCGGCUGGUCAGCGAGCGCUACUCUGUGGGUGGUUAGCAGUGAUUUACACUCGGGGGUGGCAAGAACCCCGUAUUGGAAACCACCUACCCAUUCUUAUCUUUCACUUCCCACUUCAUGCAAAUGGCCAAACAUUAAGGCAACACUCGAGUUGUGUCUACAAACAGUGGCGGUCAGGAUAAUAGUGCUCCAAGCGUCUACCCUUCAAGAAUCCCAUCAAGAAUAGUACUAACCGAUAAAAUGGAUAUCCUACUACUGCUGAUCCUGAUGAAGAAACUCUGCAUCCUGCAAUCCAAGAUGAUUGUCAAAUUUUUAUCCCGUUCACACCUCAGACUCUUUUAAAGAGUAUUUAUACUUAUAUACUGACAUGUCCCUCGAUCGUAUCCAAUAAAUAUUAAUGUGUUGACCGUAA
rnacentral:sRNA from 1 species